CAAGGCUAAAUACUCCUGACUGACCGAUAGUGAACCAGUACCGUGAGGGAAAGGCGAAAAGAACCCCGGCGAGGGGAGUGAAAAAGAACCUGAAACCGUGUACGUACAAGCAGUAGGAGCCUCUUUAUGGGGUGACUGCGUACCUUUUGUAUAAUGGGUCAGCGACUUAUAUUCUGUAGCAAGGUUAACCGUAUAGGGGAGCCGCAGGGAAACCGAGUCUUAACUGGGCGUUAAGUUGCAGGGUAUAGACCCGAAACCCGGUGAUCUAGCCAUGGGCAGGUUGAAGGUUGGGUAACACUAACUGGAGGACCGAACCGACUAAUGUUGAAAAAUUAGCGGAUGACUUGUGGCUGGGGGUGAAAGGCCAAUCAAACCGGGAGAUAGCUGGUUCUCCCCGAAAGCUAUUUAGGUAGCGCCUCGUGAAUUCAUCUUCGGGGGUAGAGCACUGUUUCGGCUAGGGGGUCAUCCCGACUUACCAACCCGAUGCAAACUACGAAUACCGAAGAAUGUUAUCACGGGAGACACACGGCGGGUGCUAACGUCCGUCGUGAAGAGGGAAACAACCCAGACCGCCAGCUAAGGUCCCAAAGUCAUGGUUAAGUGGGAAACGAUGUGGGAAGGCCCAGACAGCCAGGAUGUUGGCUUAGAAGCAGCCAUCAUUUAAAGAAAGCGUAAUAGCUCACUGGUCGAGUCGGCCUGCGCGGAAGAUGUAACGGGGCUAAACCAUGCACCGAAGCUGCGGCAGCGACACUAUGUGUUGUUGGGUAGGGGAGCGUUCUGUAAGCCGUUGAAGGUGGCCUGUGAGGGUUGCUGGAGGUAUCAGAAGUGCGAAUGCUGACAUAAGUAACGAUAAUGCGGGUGAAAAACCCGCACGCCGGAAGACCAAGGGUUCCUGUCCAACGUUAAUCGGGGCAGGGUGAGUCGACCCCUAAGGCGAGGCCGAAAGGCGUAGUCGAUGGGAAACAGGUUAAUAUUCCUGUACUCGGUGUUACUGCGAAGGGGGGACGGAGAAGGCUAUGUUGGCCGGGCGACGGUUGUCCCGGUUUAAGCAUGUAGGCGGAUGUUCCAGGUAAAUCCGGAACGUUAUCAACGCUGAGGUGUGAUGACGAGGCACUACGGUGCUGAAGUGACAAAUGCCCUGCUUCCAGGAAAAGCCUCUAAGCAUCAGGUAACAUCAAAUCGUACCCCAAACCGACACAGGUGGUCAGGUAGAGAAUACCAAGGCGCUUGAGAGAACUCGGGUGAAGGAACUAGGCAAAAUGGUGCCGUAACUUCGGGAGAAGGCACGCUGAUAUGUAGGUGAAGUGGUUUACCCAUGGAGCUGAAAUCAGUCGAAGAUACCAGCUGGCUGCAACUGUUUAUUAAAAACACAGCACUGUGCAAACACGAAAGUGGACGUAUACGGUGUGACGCCUGCCCGGUGCCGGAAGGUUAAUUGAUGGGGUUAUCCGUAAGGAGAAGCUCUUGAUCGAAGCCCCGGUAAACGGCGGCCGUAACUAUAACGGUCCUAAGGUAGCGAAAUUCCUUGUCGGGUAAGUUCCGACCUGCACGAAUGGCGUAAUGAUGGCCAGGCUGUCUCCACCCGAGACUCAGUGAAAUUGAACUCGCUGUGAAGAUGCAGUGUACCCGCGGCAAGACGGAAAGACCCCGUGAAC
rnacentral:rRNA from 1 species